ACUAAUGUUUGUUCGCAUUUGGGAAGGAAGUAAGAGAAACAUGGCGACCUCCACGGAAAGAUUUGCCCGAAUCGUGUACAAAAACUGGCCCACUAAUGUUUUUAACCCGCUCACCAGGGUUAUAAACAAGCGCAUGUGGAGAUGGACAAGUGGCGUGACCUUGAAACCAACUGCCAAGAUUCUAGUCGAGUUUGACCCCUGGUUAGGUCCGGAGAAAACCAUCUCCUGUCGAAACACUCUCAGAAUGUUCGCCAACCAGAAAGCGAGGAAGACCAACCCAAAGUGUGAAAUCACAACAAAGAUCAAGAACGACAGAUCCGAACCAAUCAUCAACAUAGAAUACACGGAUGGAGAAAGACUGAUCUUCAAGUCGGCACAUCUGCAUGAACUGGAAAUCAUGGAGAGGUACAUGAAGAAAUGUGCUGAGAAGGACCCAGAAAUCAAGCUACCCUUGUGAAAUAUCCACUGAAGGACAGUUAAAAAGCAUCCACAAGACAUUCUCCUAUGCAGAGAAACCGUCACCAUCAGUUCCUGACCGCCUUGCUUAUUAAUAUUAAUGCGCUUUCCCUUAUAUAUACGAGAUCCCUUUUGAAAACUGAAAGGCCUAUACUCUGAUUGACUGACAACUGGUUUGUGGCGACGUCCACAGGAACUGAUGGUUGAGAUAGCAGAGUACAGACAAGAGGCGGUUUGCUGGUGCCUUUGGAUGUCUCUGCGUAGGAGAAUGCCACAAGACAAUAAAGCUCUGAAUUUAUCAGGAAUACAGUUUGAUGGUGUAAUUGGCCAAAAGUGUAUUUAAAAAUGCAUUUUUGGAGGACCCAGAAAUCAAACUACCCAAGUGAAGCAUCAACUACAAAUGAUUAAAAAACAAAGAAUGUUUGAAUGAUAGUGGAUUUGUUUUGGAAAACACAUUUGACCCUUCGACCUAGGAAAAUGCCCAAUAAAGCUACUCAAUUGAAGCAUCAA